UUGCUUACUUUAGUAGCAAGCCUACAAAAAUUAGAAUGAUGCAGAGAUGACCAUGGCCAUUACAGAAGAAUGACAUGCAAAUUCAUAAAACUUUCAAUACUUUU
ensembl:snRNA U6 U6 spliceosomal RNA